rnacentral:lncRNA from 1 species
AUGAAGAAAAAAAACCCAACUAGGGAUGAGCACAGGGCUUCCGAACACGUGCCCUUCUCGGUGAACCCACAGUGCUCUGUUUGUUUGCCUUCUCUCAGCUCACGCAUUCUUCGAGGCUUGGUAACCGGAAUGUUUUGUCUGUUCAGGCUCCAAACAGUCAGUGGGAUAGGAACCAAAGUGAAGUACCUCUUGCUGUGUCAAGAUGAACCUGGGAAACUGGCAGCCGUUGCCUGGACUGCUUCUCUGAAUCCUCUGGUACAUCUUUUUGUCUCUAGUUUUAAAAGUUCCCCAGAGGUCACCCGAAACCCGGAAUCUUGUCAGAAUAGGAUGGCGGUCAUUCUACAGUUCUCAUUAAACACAUUCAUCUCUCAAACUUUGGAGGGAGCCAAAAGGCCAAAAGCAAGAAUUCCAGAGCAUUGCCUACACUGGUCUGUUACCCUGAUAAAUGUCUAACAAAUUCGGUAUGUGUCUACGGGGCUUGACCAUUUGCUGGGCAGAGUUCCAGAACAGUGAGACAUCUUGGAAUUCAUCUGGUUUAGGAAAGACUUUUAACUACCAGCUGGGAGUCACCUCAAGUGUUCUGUAAAUAGUCAAGUCUUGAGGCCUUUGCUCUGUGGUCUGUUCUGAUGGAUGGCUCCCCACCGAGUGAAACAGAAGGAUGACCUUGUUCUGUGAGCAGGACGAUAGUGAAAGAAGGAGCUGUGUGUGUGGAAGUCUGUG